rnacentral:tRNA from 1 species
GCUGGCUUAGCUCUGUAGGUAAAGCCGCUGACUUGUAAUCAGUCAGUCACCCGUUCGUUCACGGUAGCCAGGCACCA